rnacentral:rRNA from 1 species
AGUGAACGCUGGCGGUAGGCCUAACACAUGCAAGUCGAACGGCAGCACAGUAAGAGCUUGCUCUUACGGGUGGCGAGUGGCGGACGGGUGAGGAAUACAUCGGAAUCUACUUUUUCGUGGGGGAUAACGUAGGGAAACUUACGCUAAUACCGCAUACGACCUACGGGUGAAAGCAUGGGAUCUUCCGACCUUGCGCGAUUGAAUGAGCCGAUGUCGGAUUAGCUAGUUGGCGGGGUAAAGGCCCACCAAGGCGACGAUCCGUAGCUGGUCUGAGAGGAUGAUCAGCCACACUGGAACUGAGACACGGUCCAGACUCCUACGGGAGGCAGCAGUGGGGAAUAUUGGACAAUGGGCGAAAGCCUGAUCCAGCCAUACCGCGUGGGUGAAGAAGGCCUUCGGGUUGUAAAGCCCUUUUGUUGGGAAAGAAAAGCAGCAGGUUAAUACCCCGCUGUUCUGACGGUACCCAAAGAAUAAGCACCGGCUAACUUCGUG